AUUGAACGCUGGCGGCAGGCCUAACACAUGCAAGUCUAACGAGUGGCGGACGGGUGAGUAAUGUCUGGGAAACUGCCUGAAGGAGGGGGAUAACUACUGGAAACGGUAGCUAAUACCGCAUACCAUCAGAUGUGCCCAGAUGGGAUUAGCUUGUUGGUGGGGUAACGUCUCACCAAGGCGACGAUCCCUAGCUAGUAUGAGAGGCUGACACGCCACACUGGAACUGAGACACGGUCCAGACUCCUACGGUAGGCAGCAGGGGGGAAUAUUGCACAAUGGGCGCAAGCCUGAUGCAGCCAUGCAGCGUGUAUGAAGAAGGCCUUCGGGUUGUAAAGUACUUUCAGCGGGGAGGCGUUACCCGCAGAAGAAGCACCGGCUAACUCCGUGCCAGCAGCCGCGGGAAUAC
rnacentral:rRNA from 1 species